UUUCAACCUAAUAUUUGUUGGACCAUGCUACAGUUACAAACUUUUUUUUACAUAAUCCUUUACUCACUACUCACAGUGGGAGGUGGGGACCAUGAGCCGACAUUUUUUAAAUUCACGUGGGGGCUGCUUGUUUGUGAGAAUAUGAUAGAGCAAGGGGGGUCGAAAUAGGAAAUAAAGAUAUAAAGCUUGAAUACUUGGAAGAGGCAUUUACCACGUCUAACUGGAUAGUCAGAAUUUACAAAGUCAAACCACCCAAGAAUAGGUGGUGAUUUGACACCUUUCUUCCAAUCUCUUACCCUGCCAGGACACCGGACGUGAGAAGUGCCGAUCUUGGAUAAAUUACUUAGAAGACUACUUAUUUUUCUUGAUUUUUUCCUCUCUCUCUCCUAUCUCUCGCUCUCUCUCUUUCUCUCUCUUUUUUUUUUUUUUUGGGGGUAACAUUUAGGCCUUCAAUUUUCCAUAAUCAUCCUUUUUGCAGAUCUUAUUGUGUCACUGACUAAUAUAAUCAAAAUUACUAAAUUUCUGUUUGAAGUGUUGUGCGGAUUCUUGUUUGCUAAAUUAAUAGCAUUGAGUCAUACAAAUUGUUGGGC